UACAGAAUCAAACUUCAAGUUAAAAAAGUGUGGUCUAAUUUAUACUUUCAUGAGGUAUUCUUUUACACAAUAUUGCAAUCCAAACACCCCACUUUUCAAUAUCUAGAUAGUUUCAAGCUGUUCUGAUAUUAUGGUAUGGUCUUUGUUUCAAUACACCACAAAUGUUCUCACAUUACUUUGGAAAAUAUACUUGUAGCAUUGAAGUGUUUGUGGGCUAUCCAUCUCAUUUUCAGCAAUUAAG